rnacentral:rRNA from 1 species
AGUCACUGACAUUAGAUACCCGCGUAGUCCAGGGUGUAAACGCUGCAGACUUGGUGUUGGAAGCCCUUUGGGGGCAUUCAGUGCCGGAGAGAAGUUGUUAAGUCUGCUACUUGGGAGUACGUCCGCAAAGAUGAAACUUAAAGGAAUUGGCGGGGGAGCACCGCAACGGGAGGAGCGUGCGGUUUAAUUGGAUUCAACACCGUAAACUCACCAGGGAAGACUGUUACAUGAAGGCCGAGAUGAAGACUCUGCUAGAUUUUCAG